rnacentral:lncRNA from 1 species
CGGUUGGUUGAGACUGGCUUCGGAAUUACCAGGGGAACUGCUUCCAAAUAAAUCAGUCCACCUGAAGCCCCUUCCUCCAGCGCUCUCACCUGAUCCUGAGCCAGAGGCCCCCGAAGGAGCCAUCAUCAUCUGAUUUUCCAGAUCAAGACCCACAAAAACCAUUGUAAGUAGGAAACCUCCGGAAUACCACCCGAACCGACUAACAACCAAGUGAACAAGAAUUCGUUGGUAUAAGCGCCACAAUAAGAUCUCAAAAUUGAGACCAAAAGAUUGUAGUAAUAGAGAAGCGAAGCCAAGAACACCAAAAAAAAUGAGAAGGGAAAAGACCCUUCCUCGAAGACGAGGAGA